rnacentral:rRNA from 1 species
AUUCCGGUUGAUCCUGCCGGAGGCCAUUGCUAUCGGAGUCCGAUUUAGCCAUGCUAGUCGCACGAGUUCAUACUCGUGGCAUAUAGCUCAGUAACACGUGGCCAAACUACCCUACAGCGACGGAUAACCUCGGGAAACUGAGGCCAAUCCGUCAUAGCGCUCUCUCAGUGGAAUAC